GCGGCGACGGAGGGGGCGGUCCUCUUCACGUGAGCGUGGCUGCGGAGACGAAGCUAAAGGCAGCACCGGGCCAUCAUCGGCUUGUCCGGGUGUCCGUCGGCGGCCUGCAGGCGAGAGACAGACAGAUGCUCGUGCUUAAGUCGAUCCCGAGCGUCGCUACGGAAAGCCCUCGAGUUAAGGACACGCCCCUGACCCUUCAAGAGGCUUCGGCGUUCACUGGGCAGCCGUGGCCCAAUGGUUAAGAUCAUCGCCUGCCACCGUGGGGGACCUAGGUUCAAAACCCCGACUGGACCAUCCGCCAACAUCCUCCGGACUCACGGCUGUGGUGUCCUUGAGCAAGACACCGAUACCCCGAAAUGCUCCCCGGGCGCUUCAGCUGCCCCCUGCUCCGCCAUCGUUCCCUGGAAUCUCCGCGAUUGACGAGAUUAACGAGGAAGUUUCCAGAGAACGACGAGGCCCGCCUCUCUCAAGGCAUCUUAACGAAUGUCGUUUUGCAUCUUAUAUUCAGCUGUACAAAAUGUGCUAAGUCAGUAUUGUUUGGUUGUUCUUUGUUGAGGUUAAAUGAUUGAGUCUCUUCGCAAGGACGGCGUUGUAUGUUGGAGAUACAGUAGGUGUCAUGGUCUGUGUUUUGGGUUUGGGUUGUGUUUAGUUUUGUUCCAUGUUUUCCUGUGUUCCAUGUUUGUCGUGUGCUCAUUAGGUUGUUGUGUCCACCUGUUCUCGUCUAUUUUGUGUCGACCAAUCAGCUCUCUCCAGCCACUCGUGUCUUGUCCAGGUGUUCCUCGUUGUCUCGUCAAUUUGUUUGUAUUUAGUUCCCUGGGUUCUUUCAGUCCUUGUCGGUUCAUUGUCGUUGUCACAUGUCUUGCCAUGUCAUAGUCGCCAGUUGUUUUAUCAUUGUGAUUAAAUAUUAUUAUUUUGAGAUUCCCGCA